CCCCACCCCCCCGACUCACAGCAGCCCCCCGCUCCGGCCGCCCGCCAUUGUUAUCUGCGCCGCCGCCAUCUUGGAACUGCUUUCCUCUGUUCUUUCUUUUUUUUUUUUUUUUUUCCCCUCUCAGACUCGGAGUGCUGGGCGGUGACGUCACAGGAGCUUUUCUGGGAGCUAGCCAAUGGAAGGAACCUACACACCCCUUUAAAGUCAGAGACAGAGUCGUGGUGAAGGUGCUCCCCAGGAACAAGAGCCCAGGAGACUUCACCUAUGGUCCAGAGACAGAGGUCGUAGCAGUUACCCGAACAGCAGUCCUGACAGAGGAAAGUCCUACCUGGAUCCAUGCAUCCCGAGUAAAAAAGGUUCCUAGACCAGACCUAGAGAGGGAAGCAAGUGAUUCCAGUGAGGUACGAACCGGGGCAGACAGCCCUGACCUCCCACCUAGCGAAGAAAGAAGAACAGAAGAAGAUGAGGAACCUGUCCCCUAUCUCUAUCCUGGGGACUAUCUCGAUAGCCCUACUGGCCCUUAUUCACCUCACAAUAUGUGAAGUCGACAUCACACAAACAAAUGGGAUCCCCACCUUGUGGUAUAAUUCCUCUAACACACACGUAGCCACAUAUAUCCUUGACUAUUUUAUGUUCCCCAAAAUUGCUGAUGACAAAUAUUAUAUACAACACAGGAGGAAAUCAGGAAUGUCUGAGACAGUAUAUAUUUGUGUUACUGACGAAUGGUACUAUGACAUUAGAUAUUAUGGAUCUAAUUGUAAUUCCUGGGAAGCUGUGGGGUGGCAAGCAGGAUACUAUAGUGCAAGACAAAGGUUUUAUUUGUGGGACAUGUAUAAAAACCCAAAAUACCAGCCUAAAAUUGCUCCCCAAAACAAACCUUUAAAGCCCCAUACUGCCACUUUUAAAGAUAUGGUGGCUAUUACUAACCCUACCUUUGAAGACACCCUAGCUAUUGAAACUGGUUUCUCUGACAUUAAUUUUUGGUUGGAAUGGAUGAAGUAUAGUGCUAACAAACACAAUAAAAGCAACUGUUAUGUCUGUGGCAAAUCUAGGCCCCACCUAGGUACAGUGCCCCUUAAUAUACCCCUAGAACAGGAAAAUUGUUUUUUUUUCAGCCUUUUUAAUGACACCAAAACAAAUGACAGUCAGUGCGAAAUGUGGAAAAGGGAAUAUCCCAUAUUGUCAAAAAAUCCCAACCCAGGAAGCACCAUAACCAUAUAUCCUGGAAACUAUACCUGUUAUACAUCUAACACCACCACAGGGAGAAAUUUAAAAACCUUCCCACCAGGGUAUUGUGCAAAUAA